rnacentral:lncRNA from 1 species
GCAGAAAUGGUUUGGUACAGAUAUUUGUUGUGAACAUCUAAACCUGGAUAGCAAAUUAUUUGUGUUGUGCACAGUACUUUGAGAUCCAUUUGAGCAGGAGAAAGAAACCCAGCUGCCAACCUUUCAGUGGGAUAAUAACACUUCAGAACACAUUGGUCCAAAGCUGAGUUGGGUUUUCUAAGGAGACUUCAUCUGCAUAGGUGAGCCAGUCUGAUUGAGAGGCAGCACCUAUCUCUUGCAGUGAGUGGCAGAGUCUUCUAAAAGGGUAAGAUACUGACUG